rnacentral:misc_RNA from 1 species
GAUGAAGAACGCAGCGAAAUGCGAUAAGUAAUGUGUAUUGCAGAAUUCAGUGAAUCAUCGAAUCUUUGAACGCACAUUGCGCCCCUUGGUAUUCCGAGGGGCAAGCCUGUUCGAGCGUCAUUAUAACCCCUCAAGCUCAGCUUGGUGUUGGGGCCUGCUGCACUGGCAGCCCUUAAAAUCAGUGGCGGCGCCAUCUGGCUCUAAGCGUAGUAAUUCUUCUCGCUAUGGAGUCCUGGUGGAUGCUUGCCAUCAACCCCCAAUUUUUCUAUGGUUGACCUCGGAUCAGGUAGGGAUACCCGCUGAACUUAAGCAUAUCAAUAAGCGGAGGA